rnacentral:lncRNA from 13 species
AUGCCUGUGUACAGAACAGAAAUGCAAAAGUGUACAGUUGGCCUCUCUAGUAGUGAACAUCCUUCAGACAUAUUGAAUACUGGAUCUAGAGGAGUUGUGUUCUUCCUGUCAGACAUAUUGAAUACGGGAUCUAGAGGAGUUGUGUUCUUCCUGUCAGACAUAUUGAAUACGGGAUCUAGAGGAGUUGUGUUCUUCCUGUCAGACAUAUUGAAUACUGGAUCUAGAGGAGUUGUGUUCUUCCUGUCAGACAUGGAGGAAUGCCAAAGCUAUUUUAAGUAGUUUUUUUCCCAGUGAGUGGUUAAAAGGAAGACAUGUGGAAUCCAGUGUUGUCCUAUCAGAGAGGAAUCAAAGGUUUGCUUUUUAGUUAGCUAUGCGAUAGUAUUGUGUGAGCAAUGAUGGGACCAGAGUUUUAUAAUCAGGUCACAUGGUGUAAAAACAACUCCUGGCCUUAGGGAGGAUGAAAAGCCUGUCAAACUGCAGCAACUUUGUACUUGUUCAUAUGAAUUAUAUUUUAUAGACGGACUAGGGGGGGUUCCUAUACACAGAGAAAGCAACAUGAUUGGACAAUAAAACUCACAGGGCUGAUCUUGCUUUAUACAGGAUUGUAUCAUGUAGUCAUGCCCUAUGCAACUGUAGGCUUAAUUAAACAUGAACUCGGUCUGCUUUUGUGUUUAUUGAUUCAUUGCAGUUAAUAAUUUAGGAUUGAAAAGGUCUAGGUAGCCUAGACAGCCCAAGUUUGAAGAAAUUACCAAAUUUGAUCCCAUUCACAUUUUCUCACAAAUGGGCUAUAAAUACAUGUUACCGAUCUGGCUAGAGGGACAUAGAAUAAAUAGCCUGCUCUAUUCCAUGUAGCAGCUGCUGUUCUUAGUAGCAGUUGAUAAGACUGAACAAUUUGAUUGUUUCCAUGUAAUCCAGCAUGUCAGAUGGCUGGUGUUUAUGAAUAUACUGUAGGCUAAUACAUUUCUGGAAGAGUUUUUGCUUGUGUCUGUCGGGAGUGAUGUCUUAUCACGUUUGCUGAAUAAAUACCCGCUUUGAUGCGUUGUGCCCGCACGCGUGACCUGCGAUUUCCUUGAAUCUGAUUGGUCCGGACACUGAUGAUUGGUCAAGACAAGAGCCUUCAGCACUACGAUGUGAAGGGCAGAGAUAUUGUGUGCAAGUUGACAAAUCUUCUGGUAAAUCGGUCUACAAAACAGCUCUUUACUCAUCAUUUUAACAUUUUGCGUAAACUAAAUCAAACAUGGGAAAGGAUUGGAAAGUGCUGAUAGCGCCUCACCACACAUUUUCUGGCAGCCCUGAAUGGAAUUGUUAUAGACAAGUAUGGGAGCGCAGCUAAAUUGUCUCAAUUAGCUGUGCUACAUUAGCUAGCUGACUACUAUAGCUAACUGACUACUGUAGCUAGCUGACUACUGUAGCUAGCUGACUACUGAAGCUAGCUAGCUUCUCUACAACGAUUUGAUGCAGUCAAGAAAGAUACUACCAGAUGGUAUGAUAGAACCUAUGACAGCAACAUGUUUGUCUAACUAGUGCAAGUCAGUUUCAAAUCAAAUCAAAUCAAAUCAAAUUUUAUUUGUCACAUACACAUGGUUAGCAGAUGUUAAUGCGAGUGUAGCGAAAUGCUUGUGCUUCUAGUUCCGACAAUGCAGUAAUAACCAACAAGUAAUCUAACUAACAAUUCCAAAACUACUGUCUUGUACACAGUGUAAGGGGAUAAAGAAUAUGUACAUAAGGAUAUAUGAAUGAGUGAUGGUACAGAGCAGCAUAGGCAAGAUACAGUAGAUGGUAUCGAGUACAGUAUGUACAAAUGAGAUGAGUAUGUAAACAAAGUGGCAUAGUUUAAAGUGGCUAGUGAUACAUGUAUUACAUAAGGAUACAGUCGAUGAUAUAGAGUACAGUAUAUACGUAUGCAUAUGAGAUGAAUAAUGUAGGGUAAGUAACAUUAUAUAAGGUAGCAUUGUUUAAAGUGGCUAGUGAUAUAUUUA